AGCGAACGCUGGCGGCAGGCUUAACACAUGCAAGUCGAGCGGGCAUCCUUGUGGUGUCAGCGGCAGACGGGUGAGUAACGCGUGGGAACGUGCCCUUCGGUUCGGAAUAACUCAGGGAAACUUGAGCUAAUACCGGAUACGUGCGAGAGCAGAAAGGUUUAUCUGCCGAAGGAUCGGCCCGCGUCUGAUUAGCUAGUUGGUGAGGUUAUGGCUCACCAAGGCGACGAUCAGUAGCUGGUCUGAGAGGAUGAUCAGCCACACUGGGACUGAGACACGGCCCAGACUCCUACGGGAGGCAGGAGUGGGGAAUAUUGGACAAUGGGGGCAACCCUGAUCCAGCUAUGCCGCGUGAGUGAUGACGGCCUUAGGGUUGUAAAGCUCUUUUCUUCGGGACGAUAAUGACGGUACCGGAGGAAUAAGCCCCGGCUAACUUCGUG
rnacentral:rRNA from 1 species